AAUGAUGAGCCUGAUUAAAGGACUAUCGUGAUAGGAUAAAACAUGUAGUUGAAACUACCUUCAUUA
rnacentral:tRNA from 2 species